GACGAACGCUGGCGGCGUGGAUUAGGCAUGCAAGUCGAACGGUAUCAUCCUUUCGGGGGUGAGAGAGUGGCGAACUGGUGAGUAACACGUAGGUUAUCUACCCUCAAGACGGGGACAACCCAGGGAAACUUGGGCUAAUACCGGAUGUGAGCAACUUUUAGUUGUUUGAAAGGUGGCGUAAGCUGUCGCUUGGGGAUGAGCCUACGUCCUAUUAGUUAGUUGGUGAGGUAACGGCUCACCUAGGCAAUGAUAGGUAGGCGGCCUUAACGGGUGGUCGCCCACACUGGGAUUGAGAUACGGCCCAGACUCCUACGGGAGGCAGCAGUCGAGAAUAGUCUACAAUGGUCGGAAGACUGAUAGUGCGACGCCGCGUGAACGAUGAAUCCCUUCGGGGUGUAAAGUUCUUUUAUAUGUGAGCAGUGCUUCUUAUAUUAACAGUAUGGGGAGAGAGAUAUUAGCAUAUGAAUAAGCAACGGCUAACUCCGUGCCAGCAGCCGCGGUAAACUGU
rnacentral:rRNA from 1 species